UACAUAUAUUAUUUACAUUGUGAAACAUGAGCUCCACAAAAAGUUGUAGUGUCAGUUUUCCUCACUGUGAUUUUUAUAGCAAAUGUUGAAGCAGUGCGCCCCGGGUGCUACCAACGAUGUAUAGCUCAAUGUGUCCAUGUCACUGAUUAUUGCCGUGAAGAAUGUAGGGAUCAUUGCCAUGAUCAUUCCGUUCUUCCUGGUGAACAGAACGUUGCUCCAAAUUUAAAGAAGAUGAAAGCUGAUCGGAAGCUGCUUGGAUGAAUGUUCAACAAGAUAUUGCACCUAAACUAGCAUGUAAUGUUAUAUAUAUGCUACUUCUUUUACAAAAGCAAAGUAUUGAAUACAAAGUAGAAAAAAUAUGAUAUCUUGAUGACUCCAAGAUAAAUCAAGAUUAAUGCUUUUACUGAAGUAAUACUUUUUGAAACUUC